UCCUGGUCUCAGCUGACUCGUUGUGGUCCCAACUCUCUGCUCCUGGUUCUCUGCGGAGUCCUCCUGGUUUGUUUCUCUCCUGGGUUCCCUGCGGAGACCUCCUGGUCUCAGCUGACUGGUUGUGUCUCCAAACUCUCUGCUCCUUGUUCCCUGCCGACUCUUCCUGGUUUGUUUCUCUUCCUGGUUCCCUGAGGAGACCUCCUUGUCUCAGCUGAC